UGCAUCGGCCUGGAAUCGAACCCGGGCCGCCCGCGUAGCAGGCGAGCAUUCUACCACUGAACCACCGAUGG
rnacentral:tRNA from 1 species